rnacentral:rRNA from 1 species
CAGCCGCCGCGGUAAUACGGAGGGAGCUAGCGUUGUUCGGAAUCACUGGGCGUAAAGCGCACGUAGGCGGCUAUUCAAGUCAGGGGUGAAAGCCCGGGGCUCAACCCCGGAACUGCCUUUGAAACUAGAUAGCUUGAAUCUUGGAGAGGCGAGUGGAAUUCCGAGUGUAGAGGUGAAAUUCGUAGAUAUUCGGAAGAACACCAGUGGCGAAGGCGACUCGCUGGACAAGUAUUGACGCUGAGGUGCGAAAGCGUGGGGAGCAAACAGGAUUAGAUACCCGAGUAGUCCCUGUCUCUUAUAC